UGGAACACAUCUUAACAUCUCUCUGUAUUUACUUUAGGAAUCAAUAGUUUGGGGGUAUUUGUUUGUUUUGGAAGUAGAUGGUAAGGCCAGGAGUGAAUUUUUGUCUUUGUUUCUAGGACAAUAAAAGGUGUAUAUGAGGAGAUAUGCAAUUCUUUUUUUUUUUUUACAGAUGUGUUUUUAACUUAAGCAACACAAUCAUUGUUCCCGUUCUGUCAUUUGUUUCCAACUCAGGUCUGUUGCGUGAUAGGGGAGCAAAAGAGAGGAUGAAGCCCCCUUCCCUUCAACACCUCCCUGUGCUUAAACCAUGUUCAAAAACUUCGGCAUCAAAGUUACCCCUGGAGGCCAUGUAUGAAGAUGUGAAAACCAAGUCAAACAAGAAUAAACAAAAGCCAUGUGUACGCGAGGGAGCUGUUGGAGACGCGAUUCCGAGAUCCUGUCUUCAGAAGUCUUAUUAAAUACAACUAAAAAGUGACCCAGAUACCAUCAUCCCCAAACUCUGGGACUGUUUUGAUUAAUCAGGGAGAAACGCUUGCUCUAACUGGUCCCUGUUCCCAUAAGGACACUUUGUGCUAACAAGGGGCAGUCCAGUGGUGAUUUGAUUCCUGUAUUCUUUUUCUCCUUUCUCUUCUCUCCUGCCUUGUGCCAGGACCCUCCUCUUCCCUUUGGUACUUCUUUAGUCAGCAAAAGCCUUUCAGAGCACUCCCAGAGCUAGAGGCUUACUACAGCUAGCAGAGGCCAGACUUCUGGCAAGAAUUUCUUUCUCAUUUGGUCAUUGUUUGUUCCCUGUAGGGGACAGGAAGGGAAAGACAAUUCCAUGCAGGGCUUGCAGCUCAAACAACUCAUUUUGUAUCCGUUCAAAUAAGACAUUUCCCAAAUUCUCUGUCUAUAAAACUUCAUGUAAAUCUUGAGAGAGUAUAUCUGCAGAAACCAGAUUUCCUGACAGUUGCUUUGUAUAAUUCACUGACUGGCUGUGUAGGGAUUUUUUUUUUCUUCUCGAACAUAAAACAUCUUUUAUUAAGAGCUUUGUACCAAAGGUGAAAUAGACAAAAUGUAUUUGUAAAUCCAGAGAUAAGCAUUUUUUCCCUCAUCUUAUUUUGAUAAAAAUCUUUCACUCAUAGAGAGUGGUAUAAAGUAAGACCACAAACGCUGUGCUUCUAAAAUCCCAAUUAAGAAGUCAGAGUCACUUCGGGCUCAGGAUAAGGCUCAGUGGGAAAUGUGCUUGCUAUGUUAUCUCAAGGACCUGAGUUUAGAGAGCUGGCAGCAUCAUGCACGUGUAACCUCAGGGCUGGGGGAUCUGAGACAAGCUGAUACUAGGAUGUUAGCAACUAGCUUCGGCCAGCUAACCUAGCUGAACUAGCAAGCUUCAGUUAUAAGUGAGAGUGCCUACCUCAAAAGAAAUUAAGAUAGAGUGUGAUAGAGGAAGAUACCCAUUGUUAACCUUUUGGCUACUACACAUAUGUGCAAUGUACACACACACACACACACACACACACACACACACACAUUGCAUAUGUACCGAAGAGAAACAUAGCAUAGAGAAGACACAGAGGCAUCUGUGAAUUCUCAGAUGCCUCUCUUCUUCAUUUUGUACCUAACCCAGAGGUAGCUUCUGCCUCCAAUUCAAUGCUUUUCAUUCCAGCUGUGACUUUAGUCUUCUUAUCUGCUAAAUCUGCAUAACUAUGAAUAACUAAUUUAAUGACCAAAGUUAAAGCGCGUUACAUGACAGGACAAACACACAUAGAAAACUGUGUGCAUAUAUAUAUAUAUAUAUAUAUGUAUGUAUGUAUCUCUAUCUCUAAUCCCUCUCCCUCUCCCUCUCCCUCUCCCUCUCCCUCUCCCUCUCCCUCUCCCUCUCCCUCUCCCUCUCCCUCUCCCUCUCCCUCUCCCUCUCCCUCUCCCUCUCCCUCUCCUCACCCUUCUCCCUUUCUCUCUAGUCUCCUCCAAUGUUGCAGGACUUUGUAACAAUUGGCCUUCAUAAAACUCAGUGGAAAUUUGGAAUUCAGUCCAGUAUGCAAUGCCUGUUUUAACAUUGUUUUUAUUCAUAUGAUGCACGUUCUUAAAGUAACCGAGCAGAUUAUUUCUGAAAGCUUUAGGAGUUAAACUGUUAUGGUAUUCCUAUAAGUAGAAAUUCUUGAUUUCUUUUCAUAUUUUAUUUUAUUGAUUUACCCUCAUGAUGCAGUUCUCAGUGAAGGAAAAAACAGGGCACAGGCACAUUAGAGAGCACAUUAGAGAGAGUGUGGAUUUGUGUUAUUUGUAUUGCAAUUUGUCCACCUGCAGGCUUAGUCUUUGACUUUGACCUUUAGAUGGAAGCUUCUGAAGGACUGGCUCUGCAGAGGCAGCAGCUCCCUUGGCCUUUCCCAUGGGUCUCUGCAUGACCUCAUACUGGACUAGAAGCCCCAGGCGCACAUGAGCCAACUGGUAUACCUGCACUGUGCUGUGGGAGGCCCCAGGCCCACAUGAGCCAACUGGUAUACCUGCACUGUGCUUUGGGAGGCCCCAGGCCCACAUGAGCCAACUGGUAUACCUGCACUGUGCUUUGCGAGGCUGGUUAGUGCCUUUCCCUCUGAUGGAUGAUCACCCAUCUUUCAGAAAACACUUAUAACUCAGGCAAGUUGACACAGACAGAACUAACAGCUUGCUCAUCCUCACUCAGACGUGCAGCUGGGAACUUAAGGGAUUUCAUGAGUUUUCCUUCUCUCCAUGAAAAAAAAAACAAAAAAACAAAAACAAACAAACAACCUAACCCAGUAUAUUCUUACAUUCCACUGCGAUGUUAUGAGGCAGCAUCUCCUUGUUCAUUCAAGGUCAUAUCGUCUCUAAAUAUUUGAUUAAAAGAAUGAUAGGUGGCAACAUAUGUGACUGUUUUGCCAUUGCAUGCCAUGAAUAGCUAGCAUCUCUUGCCACUGAGAAUCAGAAAAGCCUUUCAGUCUAAUUCAGUGAGAUCUCAUUUCUAGCUCUUGUCUUUAUAGUUCUGGUCCAUGGAACUGAUUCUAUGGCCACAACUAGUCAGACAUUUUUUGCUGAAGAAUCAGAACUGAUUCUUCAGGGAGGAAAGGUUUGUUUGACUUCUACUUCACCAUCACUGUUCAUUAUGGAAGGGAGUCAGGGUAGGAACUUAAACAGGGCAAGAACUGGUGGGAGGAGCUGUUCACAGGCCCUUAAGGAGUGCUACUUACAUCUUGAGCCUCAAGGUUUAUUCAGCCUGCUUUCUUGUAGAACCCAAGACUCCCAGAUUAGGGAUGGCGCCACCCACAAUUAGUCGGCCCCUCCCCUAUCCAAAACGAAUAAAGAAAAAUACUCCACAAGCUUGCCUAUAGCCCAGUCUCAUGGAGGUGUUGUCUUUCCCUCCUCGCAGAUGACUUUAGCUUGGGUCAAGAUGACAUAAAACCAGCCAGGACAAGUUCAUUGUGGAUAUUUGUUACACAUGCAUGCUGCCAGAAUUGUUGGAGCUCAUUUCCCACAUCACGCACUCCUUCAUUCCAAAAUACAAGCUAUACCUUCUGGCUCCCCAUGGUGUGGCUAUCAAAUUCAUCCCAAUAAGACUGAUAUUCAGAUUUUGGAAAAGCAGGAGUGGAGAUUUCAGCAGGUCUGUUCUAUGCUAGGCAUUCUCAUGGAGAGAAGUUACUCCCAUUUCUAUCCCCCAAUUCUAGAGAAGCUAGCUGCACAGCCAGCAGCACCUGUCUCAUAAUCAUUCAAUUUAUUUAUAAUUCCCAGGGGUAAAGUCUUCAAGAUUCUAUGUACUUCAUACUGGUUCUAGGAACGAUCUAGCAUUUUUCUGCACGUCUCAACCUUCAGUGUACACAUGAAGUCAGUAUAUGUAAUAUAAAGUACAUAUAGUGAGUGUGUGUUUGUGCAUAUGUGCAUAUGGCUAUAUGUGUGUACAUGCAUGUGCAAGUACAUGUGUGUGCACGUGUGAGACUUGUCAGCCAGAGAUCAACACUGGGUGUCUCGAGUGUCUUUUUUCUAUUGCUCUUCUCCUCAUCUUUUAUGACAGGGUGUCUCACUAGGCUUUGAGCUUACUAUUUGGCAGACUGGCUGACCAGCAAGCUCUACAGAUUUGCCUGUUUUCAUGUUCUCAGUGCUAGGCUUACAUGUUUGCUACCAAGCCUGGCUUUGCCGUGGGUGCUAUGGUCUGAACGCUUGUGCCUCAUGCUUCUGCGGCAGACAUCUGACUUCUAUUGCUUUUGUCUUCUACUCCCUGGCCUUGGGAUCCUUUAUUUCUAAUAAGCUCCAAGGCAACAAGAAGCCUGUAGUUUAUUGAUAUGAAUGCCUGUUUUCAGCUGUGCUGUAUGCAUGUCACCCACCAUAAGUAAAGUCAGAGCAGUUGGUGUCACAUGCUGACAUCCAGUGGCAAAUGUUGGGGCUGGAGAUCUGGGGUGCCUCGUAUUUCUGGAGUUUGGUGAAAUGAAUGUCUUGCUUCAUGUGGAGCCAACUACUGUGAUUACUUCCCUCUUUCUUGGAGUGAGGAGGGAUUCUUAUGUAAUCCUGCUUGUUGUUUCAUUAAUUUGUAAUUACAGGUUGUAUGACUUCAAACUUGGCCUAAACAUCAUUGAUUUCCACAUUUCUGUAUUUAUCUCAGAAUUCAUCCAAGGACUUAAAAAGAACUUUAGUUUUUCAUCUGUUUGUUUGCGUGCGUGCAUGUGUGUGUGUGUGUGUGUGUACACGUACACACACUCAUGUAUCUUUAUUGCUCUUCCAGUGUUUCCCUCAUGCUGCCAUGAUAUUUUCUUCUCAGGAAAUACCAGCUCAAUCCCUGCAGUUGAUCAGGUCCAAACCCUAGAACCAUCCAGACGCUGUCCUUUAUAGUUCACACACAAUACUGCACAUGCUCACUCUUACCUGAACCUUAGCAUCUCCACCUGGACUGUAAGAAUCCCCAGCAUAUUUUCUUGCCCUGUCUCUUCAGCUUGCCAGCUUUCAUUUUGAGCAUGGUGGCUAUGUAAUUUAUCUCUUCAAACAAUGCCAGUGGCUCUCCCUUUCUAGAACAUAAGAGCUAAAACCUGUCAGGCCUCACGACUAGACACCCCAACCCCAAUCAAUGUUGGACUUUCAACUUCUACUACUUUAACUCUCUAGGCAGCUCAUUUUGGUCAAGUUGGCAUUGCCUCCCUGAGAUAAGUCUUAUACUUAAUCCAGGGCCUUUGAAUUAGCUAUUUUCCCUGUCUUGGAUGUUUUUGCUCCAGUUUCCAAAUACCUCUCCCCCACAUGCUUUUGGAUUUUCCUCAAAGAUGGAUUUUCUCAGUGAUGUCUUUGCUGAUCAUUCUACCUAAAAUUCACUCUCAGCUUUGUCUAUCGCCUUUGUCUGCUUUAGGUUUUUUCCUGGAACUUACUACUCUCUAGAAUACUACAUAGUCUGUCUUGUAUAUUGCCCAUUUUUCUCAUAAUAGGAUCAGCUAUACAAAGAAGACACGCCAUUGUUUUUGCUUCCUGCUCUACCCACAGUGACUAUAAACAUGCCCAUCACACAGUAGGUGCACACUGACUAUUUAUUGAAUGGACAACCAAGAAAGGAGAAAGUAGGCUGUUUUAACUCCAACAACCAAGAAUAAGAGAGUUUCAGUCCUUCAAAUAGAUACCACCACAAAGGAGGACCGUGUAGGUCUGUUGGAUAGAUGAUGUCAUAUGGGAACUUCUCAACACAGUACAGUUAUUCAGUGCAAGGACAUGUGAGUUACUAGACAUUAUAACAUAAUUCCUGUGCCCAAACUCUGUAUGCCAGAAGAAGAAGAAAAACAUCUCUGUGAAUAAUUGUGACACAAGGCAGGUGUUGGUGGGGGGCAACUCCAAAAUGUGGUGCAAGUAGUAAAUUUCAAGGUCAUUCACAUAUAGGCUUGAAAAGGCUGUGUUAAAGUUUUUUAGCGAGACCAUGUUAAAGUUUAAUGUGCUGUAAUCAUUAUGCCGGCAUGUCUUCAGAGCAAGAGCCCUUGAGGUUCUCAACAAGCUGGAUGAGAGAUGUUGUCUUAGAAUUGGAAAUAAAUGGUGAAACUUACUGAGUAUAUAAAUUUUCUUAUUGUAUGAAUUUUGGAAAUUGAGAAAUGUCCAAAAUAUCAAGAUGUUGAAAUUUACUAAUUAUUCAUCUUUCAGUUAGAUGACAACCUACGGCAUAAGUCUUGUAUAUGUUUUAUGGAGAUCAUUUCUUUUUUUAAUCAAUAAACAUUUUAAAUGUGAUUUCAAAUUCCUAUAAAAACCCUUUGCUUUAUAUACAUAAUAUGAUUUGCUUUUCUAGUUGCUAGAUGUUUAUACCAUUUUCUUAUUUAAAAACAGUAACAAAUACUAUGCCCUUUUCUUAUAAUUUCUUCAAGAUAGCUUCUAAAACCUCUUAAUUUAAGGUAUAAUUAUAUUUACAUAAAAAUAUGUACUGCUGUACAGUACACAUCUUCUGUAAAGGUGUGCCAGCUAGCAAGAGAUUCACUAAAUUAGUAGAGAUGGACAUUUUUACACAGUUAGAAAAAUGUGCUUUCCACAUUUUAUAAUACAUGCAUUCUUACUCUUGGUUUCCUGGUGACUUGCUCAGUGUCUACCAUCCUAGAUUCCACAUGUCAUCUUAACUUAAUUGUCCAUAAGAGCUUGGAGGUAACAUAUGUACUAAGUGUGAGGCCUGCUUCUUUCAUAUGAUUAAAACUUAGCACUAGAAGGAUCUCUCUUGUGGGUCAUAGUGAACUGACAUGUUUUUGGUAGAUCAAUGCUCUAUCAUCUUGGAAGAGAUGGCCUAACAUAAGAACAUUGCAAUCUGGUACUGCCAAUGGGACAAGCAUGCUUGGGAAAGCUCACAGUGUCAAAGGAAGCCAGAUGCUAUAUUAUCUGCCAAAGGUGGUCUCAUUUUCAAAAGCAUUUGAAAAUAUUAACCCAUUACCUUUCAGGCCAUCACGGUGAGGGAGUGUACUGGCUGGUUUUGUGUCAACUUGACAUAAGCUCGAGUUAUCACAGUUAUCCUUGAGGAAAUGCCUCCAUGAGAUCCAGCUGGAAGGCAUUUUUGCAAUUAGUGAUCAAGGAGAGAGAGCCCAUUGUGAGUGGUACCAUCCUUGGGCUGGUAGUCUUGGGUUCUAUAAGAAAGCAAGCUGAGUAAGCCAGGGGAAGCAAGCCAGUAAGUAACAUCCCUCCAUGGGCUCUGCAUCAGCUCCUGCUUCCUGACCUGCCUGAGUUCCA
rnacentral:lncRNA from 1 species